GAAACGGCGUCCCAGUUCGGAUUGCAGCCUGCAACUCGGCUGCAUGAAGCUGGAAUCGCUAGUAAUCGCGGAUCAGAAUGCCGCGGUGAAUACGUUCCCGGGUCUUGUACACACCGCCCGUCACACCAUGGGAGUCGGGAAUGCCCGAAGUCAGUGACCCAACCGAAAGGGGGGAGCUGCCGAAGGCAGGCCUGGUAACUGGGGUGAAGUCGUAACAAGGUACC
rnacentral:rRNA from 1 species